rnacentral:rRNA from 1 species
CUUAGUGGCGAACGGGUGAGUAACGCGUGAGUAACCUGCCCUGGAGUGGGGGACAACAGUUGGAAACGACUGCUAAUACCGCAUAAGCCCACGGCCCGGCAUCGGGCUGAGGGAAAAGGAUUUAUUCGCUUCAGGAUGGACUCGCGUCCAAUUAGCUAGUUGGUGAGGUAACGGCCCACCAAGGCGACGAUUGGUAGCCGGACUGAGAGGUUGAACGGCCACAUUGGGACUGAGACACGGCCCAA